UGACCGCUGGCGGCGUGCUUAACACAUGCACGUCGAACGGAAAGGCCCAAGCUUGCUUGGGUACUCGAGUGGCGAACGGGUGAGUAACACGUGGGUGAUCUGCCCUGCACUUCGGGAUAAGCCUGGGAAACUGGGUCUAAUACCGGAUAGGACCACAUUUUGGAUGGUGUGGUGGAAAGUUUUUCGGUGUGGGAUGAGCUCGCGGCCUAUCAGCUUGUUGGUGGGGUAAUGGCCUACCAAGGCGUCGACGGGUAGCCGGCCUGAGAGGGUGUACGGCCACAUUGGGACUGAGAUACGGCCCAGACUCCUACGGGAGGCAGCAGUGGGGAAUAUUGCACAAUGGGCGCAAGCCUGAUGCAGCGACGCCGCGUGGGGGAUGACGGCCUUCGGGUUGUAAACUCCUUUCGCUAGGGACGAAGCGUUUUUGUGACGGUACCUGGAGAAGAAGCACCGGCUAACUACGUG
rnacentral:rRNA from 1 species